UAAAAACGGUCACACUUUCGCUGAAUAUUCAAAUUUACGUCGCAAUUUGUUUGCUAACAAAAAAUAUUUGUAAUAAUGAUCUGUUCUGUGCGCGAGUAUACGCCAUUAUCAUUCAGACUCAGCUUCCUAAUAAUGGGUUGAGUCGGUGAGUGGAUUGAUAUGUUGUAUCGGCGUCCAUACGAGACUCAUCAGGUGGAAUGGGAACCGGCCGCCGACGCCGGGCGUUUGGCCAUGUCGAUGCAGGAGCUGGCUUUUGACCUGGAUGUUUUCCUCGUACGACACAGAUGAAAGAACACGUGGAUCUCAAUGAAGAGCGCACCUGCAGACCUGGAAUUCAACACGGCAGCAAAAUGCUCACCUUGUACAGCCCCUUCUGGAUGUUAAACAAAACGUGAGAUUUCACCUACAAAAAAGACUCCAAAAAGCAAUGAACCCAAAGUUCUUACCUUCCGCGAUAAGCUAUUUUUCGACAAGAUGAAAGCUGCUACCAUGGGGACUGGAGCAAGAAGAUUCCCCUUGAAGUGGCUUGUUCCUGGAGUCUAGGAGCUGAAUCACCUGCUAAAGCUGGAGACAGCGGACAUUACCGCUAAAGAAGGGUUGCUGGACUGCUGUGACCAAAUUCUGACCUCCAGAUUCUUGCGUUUGACAAAAACAAACAGAAAACUGUCCUGCGACGUGACGAAAUUGGUUAGGUCGUCAUACAAGACGGCACCAAGAUCUUCUUCCAGGAAGGCCUGCAACGUGUGUUGCUCUUGAUCCAAGUCUAGUCGAUGGUCAAACGUACUGCCUCCGCAUAGCAUCGAUCUGUGCAUUCAUUGCGCUUUAAGGAGAUGACUGUACACCACACCGACGCUCUGAAGGCCGACUAUCUGGUACACAAAGGUUUUGACGAUAUCCUUUAAUCAGGUCAACAAUCCGAUCGAUUUUAACUGAAUGUUACUAAACUAGUCCACUCAUAGAAAUCUAAAACGCGGCUUCUUAGGGUGUCGAAUAAGUCAUCGCCAUUCUAGAAUCUGCUGCAUAUAAAAAUAAAUCGUGUCCAGGUGCACAGACCAAAGUCUACAAAGUCUUGUGCUGCUUUUAGAGUCAUUACUUGUUCGCCUUCUUUAUUUGGUUGAUUCGGGCUAAUGACUGGGCAACUGUUUAACUUCAAACUAUGGGAUCGCACUGAAGUCUACCGACUAUCCGCAGCACUCAUACUAUCAAGCAACUAGUUGCUAUCUUAUAUCUUCAUGAUGCCCAACCUAGGCUCAUCCGCCCGCGCCAGUUCGUAACGGACGAAAGACGUAACCACCGGCGAUAGGAGCUUGGGAUCCAGCUUGUCAUCAGGUCGUUGCUUGAGGAUGUAGCUGUAAUGAUUAAGCCCAUCACCACAUACCAAUCGAAGGACAGAUCAAGGAUGCUGAAUCCUGAACUCCUCCUUGGGAACUUAUGCUGGUCGAGAGCAUGCUCAGGGGUGCACUGAACACACACGAGAUGAACAUUCCCGGCAUGCUCCGCAGAUGGCCGACAGAGUCCUGGACGAAAUUUGGCAUUAUUUUGUCCUGUUUGGACACUUGGCCCGACUGGGUGGGAUAACAAUCGUGGAAGCAGGAGUGGAUUACGAUGCACGUGAAUCUGUUGAAAGCCGUGGGCGAUAUUCUUGUUGUAGAAAACAGGAAUAAUCACGUACAUUAAGGCACCACCGCCACCGUGCAGCCCAAGUUAAAGAAUGGUCAUAAUGGAAAUGGUCGAGAGCCGACUAGCCACAAGGAAAGUGUCAAUCGGUAUCCUGUUAAUUCUGUUCGUUAUCACCUGAAGAAACCUGGAAUUCAUAUUGCGGUUAUUUCAUUCAUUCAGAUAAGAAUGUUUCGGUUAUUCAUAGAGCCGAGAAUUUUCAUCCACGUGGAGCCAAAUAUUAUCAAACUUUCCCAAUCUUUCGAAAAAUGCAAAAUAUUUUUAGUUUAAGAGAUGAGAAAUGAGAGCAUUCAGAGUUCUAAUUUUAUUUUUUAGUAAGAAACGAUUUGGUCAAUUUUUAUUUACAUACUGCAUAUUUCAGGUGGAAUAAAAAGAAAACUAUGCAA